CAACUUCCACCUGGCUUACCUCCUCAUUUAUGCGUCAUGACUUGUAUCGUCUUGAGCGUAUUGUGGGUUUCCUGUGUUGCCUACCUUUCUAAUGGUAUCGUUUUGAUUGAUCGAAGUCCCUUUUCAUCUUGUGUUGCCUUUGCGAUGCAUGAUGAACCUUGAGGCGGUCUCUAUGUUCCACCACGUUGAUGCUAGUGUGUUGAUGUUGUGGCCCAUUGAGUGUUGCUUGGUUUCGUGGAUACAGAACAUGAUUUGGGCAUAGGGUUACUUGUGACUCUUGUUCUGUCCUUUAUCAGUGUUCUUUAUAACGACGGUUCAUGCGUGCCUAGGCUCGUACCUGCGCGAUGUUCUUUGUCGAAGAGGAAUGCUACCUGGUUGAUCCUGCCAGUAGUCAUAUGCUUGUCUCAAAGAUUAAGCCAUGCAUGUGUAAGUA
rnacentral:misc_RNA from 1 species